CGAGACUUGCCCCCAGCGGGGUCCGGUCGGCCGGCGCGGGGCGAGUUCAAGUUCACCGAGUUACGGUGGGGAGGCGGGUAAGGGGCGCAGGAGUUCCGGCCACGACAAAAGACCGCCUCGGGGAUAGCGGCUCGUCGUGGAGACGUAGAAAUGUCACCAUAUCUAAAAAUAAGAAAGGGCGGAACCAGUCCCGGUGGGGGACAGGCAGACGCAGAGGCCGAAGGCGCGGGGCCCUUCCGGGGGCGGGGCCGAGAGUAAGCGACACGACGGGACUAGAGUGUGCCUUACGCCCUAUCUGUCCAAGAAAGCUGUGACCAGCACCCCUUGGCCAGUGGAAGUAAGGGGUCUCAAUAACAGAAAAAACACCAUUAAGACACAACAUGCGGGCACGAAGUCAGUAAGAGAUAUGCAGGACUUGGAUACAUGUGCUCUUCAACAGGAAGACUCAAUAUUGUAGAGAUACUGUUCCUCUUGAAUGUAUAAGUUCAAAUUCAAGGACCAAAAUUAACAUAUCAAAGGUAUGCCAUAAUUGUGCAGAUACACGUAAAUAAAUUUUAACUAAAACAGCGUCUUGUAGCGUUUACAAAUAUGCACAAUCAGAAUAAAUGACAAUGAUAGUGGCCAAAGGGCGGGGAGUCCCAAAAGAUUACACAUUCUAUCAUUUCAUUUUUAUGAAAUCUCCAGAAUAGGUGAAUUUUUACAGAGACCAAAA